AGAGUUUGAUCCUGGCUCAGGAUGAACGCUAGCGGCAGGCUUAACACAUGCAAGUCGAGGGGCAGCGCGAGAGUAGCAAUACUUUUGGCGGCGACCGGCGGAAGGGUGAGUAACGCGUGAGCAACAUGCCCGUAACAGGGGGAUAACCGUUGGAAACGACGACUAAUAUCCCGUAAUAUAUCUGGAGGCAUCUUUGGAUAUUGAAAGCUUCGGCGGUUACGGAUUGGCUCGCGUCUGAUUAGGCAGUUGGCGGGGUAACGGCCCACCAAACCGACGAUCAGUAGGGGUUCUGAGAGGAAGGUCCCCCACAUUGGAACUGAGACACGGUCCAGACUCCUACGGGAGGCAGCAGUGAGGAAUAUUGGACAAUGGCCGCAAGGCUGAUCCAGCCAUGCCGCGUGAAGGACGAAGGCCCUAUGGGUCGUAAACAUCUUUUGUCGUGGAGCAAUAAGGGUCUCGAGAGGCCCGAUGAGAGUACACGGCGAAUAAGCAUCGGCUAACUCCGUGCCAGCAGCGCGCGGUAUACGGAGGAUGCAAGCGUAUCCGGAUUUAUUGGGUUUAAAGGGUGCGUAGGCGGUCAUGUAAGUUGGAGGUGAAACCCGCGGGCUCAACCUGCGGCCUGCCUCCAAAACUGUGUGACUGGAAUGCGGGUGCCGUGGCAGGAAUGAGUAGUGUAGCGGUGAAAUGCAUAGAUAUUACUCAGAACACCGAUUGCGAAGGCAUGUCACGAACCCGUGAUUGACGCUGAGGCACGAAAGCGUGGGGAUCAAACAGGAUUAGAUACCCUGGUAGUCCACGCAGUAAACGAUGAUGACUAACUGCCGGCGAUAUAUUGUUCGGUGGCCAAGCGAAAGCGAUAAGUCAUCCACCUGGGGAGUACGACCGCAAGGUUGAAACUCAAAGGAAUUGACGGGGGCCCGCACAAGCGGAGGAACAUGUGGUUUAAUUCGAUGAUACGCGAGGAACCUUACCCGGGCUCGAACGGCUGGAGAACGACACAGAGAUGUGAAGGUCCUUCGGGACUCCAGUCGAGGUGCUGCAUGGUUGUCGUCAGCUCGUGCCGUGAGGUGUCGGCUUAAGUGCCAUAACGAGCGCAACCCUUGUCGUCAGUUACCAUCAAGUAGAGUUGGGGACUCUGGCGAGACUGCCACCGCAAGGUGAGAGGAAGGGGGGGAUGACGUCAAAUCAGCACGGCCCUUACGUCCGGGGCGACACACGUGUUACAAUGGCAACUACAGAGGGGCACUACCUGGCGACAGGAUGGGAAUCUCGAAAAGUUGUCUCAGUUCGGAUCGGAGUCUGCAACCCGACUCCGUGAAGCUGGAUUCGCUAGUAAUCGCGCAUCAGCCAUGGCGCGGUGAAUACGUUCCCGGGCCUUGUACACACCGCCCGUCAAGCCAUGGAAGCCUGGGGUGCCUGAAGUUCGUGACCGCGAGGAGCGACGUAGGGCAAAACAGGUAACUGGGGAUAAGUCGUAACAAGGUA
rnacentral:rRNA from 1 species